GCGGAAGCUACUAAGGGCUUACGGUGGAUGCCUUGGCGCCAAGUGCCGAUGAAGGACGUGGGUCACUGCGAUAAGUCUCGGGGAGCCGUGAACAGGUUUUGAUCCGAGAAUUUCCGAAUGGGGAAACCCACUGUUGCGAACCAACAGUAUCACCAGUUGAAUAUAUAGAUUGGUGAAGGGAACCUGGGGAACUGAAACAUCUAAGUACCCAGAGGAAAAGAGAUCAUUCCCAAAGUAGUGGCGAGCGAAA
rnacentral:rRNA from 1 species